GCCAGGCAUGGUAGCACAUGCCUGUAAUCCCAGCAGCUCAAGAGGCUGAGGCAGGAGGAUUGUGAGCAAAGCUAGCCUCAGCAAAAGCGAGGUGCUAAGCAACUCAGUGAGACCCUGUCUCUA
rnacentral:sRNA from 1 species